rnacentral:piRNA from 1 species
AUGGGACAAAAAGCUUGAAAUGGUU